rnacentral:rRNA from 1 species
ACGGAAGGCAGCAGUGGGGGAUAUUGCACAAUGGGGGAAACCCUGAUGCAGCGACGCCGCGUGAGCGAAGAAGUAUUUCGGUAUGUAAAGCUCUAUCAGCAGGGAAGAAAAUGACGGUACCUGACUAAGAAGCUCCGGCUAAAUACGUGCCAGCAGCCGCGGUAAUACGUAUGGAGCAAGCGUUAUCCGGAUUUACUGGGUGUAAAGGGAGCGUAGACGGUUUGCCAAGUCUGAUGUGAAAGGUGGGGGCUCAACCCCCAAACUGCAUUGGAAACUGGUAGACUAGAGUGUAGGAGAGGUAAGUGGAAUUCCUAGUGUAGCGGUGAAAUGCGUAGAUAUUAGGAGGAACACCAGUGGCGAAGGCGGCUUACUGGACGAUAACUGACGUUGAGGCUCGAAAGCGUGGGGAGCAAACAGGAUUAGAUACCCUGGUA